UAGUAAAUUUUUGCUUUUUUUGCAUUUUUGCAAUUUUCCGUGCAGAGAAAAUUUUUCGCGCUCAAACUCAUUUUCUCCAAGGGAUUUUUUUUGUGAUUGUCGCGGCCGUAAUCAGCUAAUCCGGACUAGUUCCGAAAUCGAGAUUGCGGGAUUUGAAAAGGAAGACGACCUUUCAACUCCGGUGAUGAGGAAGCUGGCAAAAUUAGUUAUGUUCCCCGCUCCAGCUUCACGUGAGGCCCGCAUACGAAGGCUGCUGACGUGGACAGGAUAGACGCCGAUGCAAAACGAUAUCACGCGGAUUGGUGGUCUGGUUGACUGAUUAGCGGAAAUUUUGCCGUGUCCCAGGGAAUGUUCAUGGAGUAGAGGCUCAAGAGCCACCAGUGUUAAAGUGGAACCAUACUAUUUUCUUUAUUUUUUUUAAAUUACCAGUUUUUUUUUAACAAAAACCAAAAAUCUGAAUAAAUUAUGGAGCAAACAAA